rnacentral:misc_RNA from 1 species
AAGUCGUAACAAGGUUUCCGUAGGUGAACCUGCGGAAGGAUCAUUACCAGUAGUCGGUCCGCGGCCUCGGCCCGGUCCACUCACCCUGUGCGUACUGUAGAAGCGUUGCUUUGGCGGGUCUCGCGGCCCGCCAGAGGUUUUUACCACCCUGACCUGUGUGAUACUGUCUGAGUGUCAUUGACAAUACAUUAAAACUUUCAACAACGGAUCUCUUGGUUCCA